ensembl:miRNA
AGGAGUGACCAAAAGAUAAAGAGUGUGAGCCUUCUGUUAUGCCCAGACAGGGCCACCAGAGGGCUCCUUGGUCUAGCGGUAAUGCCA